AAUAGGAAACGACAAAGGAGUGUAAACACCAUGCUUGAAAGUUUUUUUCGUUAUCCGACAUGUUGCCCACUAUGUUGGUUACAUCGCUAACAUCUUUAGGCCAUAAGAAAUGUUCUUAAAGCACCUUCAAAGUUUUGGUAAUGGAAAAAUGACCCGCCAAACCACCACCAUGAGCUUCACGAAUCAGCAACUCCCGUAUUGCAUGUUUAGGGACACAAAGGUGAUUGCCUUUUGAUGCCUUUAUGGGCUAGAUUAAGUGAGUGGGGCUGUGUUUAGGUAAAUGAAGCUAGAAUAAAAACCACAAAUGACAGGUGUAUGGGAAGAAAUGGAUAAACUAGUAACAAAUCAAGACCUACUAAGUUGUAUACCCGUGAAAACUAUCCAAGACAUAAUAUUUGUUUGAAUGCGUAUCAAGUCAAGAACACGUCUCGACUAUGACAAGUAGUGAAAUAUAACUAUAAUUCAAUGUGAACAAAGGUUCUUUUGAUUAAAAUUUCAUCUAUCUCUUUUUCCAUGCAUAAUUGGCUUAUAUGAAGCCUUUAUUACAAAGUUGUUGGUUACAAACCACCCAACCAACUACUCAGUAAAACUAAUAAUGGAAAUUAAAGAAACUCAUGAAACCACACAAAAAAAAACGUCUGACACACCAAUNGUCCACGCUCCAUUAAGGAGCAAAAAGAAGCAUUAAAGUGUAACCCAAAUCCACCAAAGAGUAUCAACAAUGGCUAGAAGGCUUGAUGAAGCAAAAAGAAACAUUUUUGAGCACUUAUUAAGCCUUUAAAAUGUUGCCCUAGCCUUCAUGCGACCCUAAUUCAAUACGUAGGUUACCAUGCACAACCCAACCAUUGAGUACAAACCACCUUCUAGCCUACUAGUAAUCACUAAUCCAUCACCUUUUUCGGCUUUUCAUGAGCCAUGCAUGGAUCCACCCCUCCCUCUUUGAAAGGAAAUGACCUUAAUUCAUCAAGGCCAUCCUCAACAAGAUACGGUGAAAGGUCUCCCACAUUAAAGGUAGCAUGCACUCCAUGGUCUCGUCCCAGAUCAACCUUAUAAGUAUUAUCAUUGACAUGUGUCACCACUUUGUAAGGACCUUCAGCUCUUGGCAUCAACUUUUGUUCUUCCUUUUGUUAGCAAAACGUUCUUUCCUCAUAUGCGCCUAAACCACGUCACCAUCUUGUAAGACACGUGGUUUCCUAUGCAUGUUGGAAUUCUGUUUGUACACGUCAUACACAGCUUCAAUCUUCACACAAACUUGUUGGUGUAGUUACAUCAUGGCCUUCAAAUUGUCAUUUGCAUCCUUGUGAACCAAUUCACCAUUUGGAAAUGGAAUGAAAUACAAAGGCUUGUAAGGAUUCACACCAUACACCACUUACGUAGGCUUAUAAGGACCUUCAGCUUUUGGCAUCAACUUUUGUUUGGAAAACGUUCUUUCCUCAUAUGCACCAACACCAAAUCACCAUCUUGAAAGACACGAGGUUUCCUAUACAUGUUGGAAUUCUGUUUGUACACGUCAAUCACGGCUUCAAUCUUCACACUAGCUUGUUGGUGUAGUUUCGUCAUGGCCUUCAACUUGUCAUUAGCAUCCUUGUGAACCAAUUCAUCGUUUGGAAAUGGAAUAAUAUACAAAGGCUCGUAAGGAUUCACACCAUACACCACUUACAAAGGCUUGUAAGGACCUUCAGCUCUUGGCAUCAACUCUUGUUCAAAGUGAACAAAGGUUAGUUUGAUUAAAAUUUCAUCUAUCUCUUUUUUCCAUGCAUAAUUGGCUUAUAUGAAGCCUUUAUAACAAAGUUGGUGGUUACUAGCCACCCAACCAACUACUCAGUAAAACUAAUAAUGGAAAUUAAAGAAACUCAUGAAACCACACAAAAAAACGUCUGACACACUGAUGAAUGAAAAAAGUGUCCAUGCUCCAUUAAGGAGCAAAAAGAAGCAUUAAAGUGUAAUCCAAAUCCACCAAAGAGUAUCAACAAUGGCUAGAAGGCUUGACGAAGCAAAAAGUAACAGUUUUGAGCACUUAUUAAGCCUUUAAAAUGUUGCCCUAGCCUUCAUGCGACCCUAAUUUAAUACGUAGGUUACCAUGCACAACCCAACCAUUGAGUACAAACCACCUUCUGGCCUACUAGUAAUCACUAAUCCAUCACAUUUUUCGGCUUUUCAUGAGCCAUGCAUGGAUCCUCCCCUCCCUCUUUGAAAGGAAAUGACCUUAAUUCAUCAAGGCCAUCCUCAACAAGAUACGGUGAAAGGUCUCCCACAUUAAAGGUAGCAUGCACUCCAUGGUCUCGUCCCAGAUCAACCUUAUAAGUAUUAUCAUUGACAUGUGUCACCACUUUGUAAGGACCUUCAGCUCUUGGCAUCAACUUUUGUUCUUCCUUUUGUUAGCAAAACGUUCUUUCCUCAUAUGCGCCUAAACCACGUCACCAUCUUGUAAGACACGUGGUUUCCUAUGCAUGUUGGAAUUCUGUUUGUACACGUCAUACACAGCUUCAAUCUUCACACAAACUUGUUGGUGUAGUUACAUCAUGGCCUUCAAAUUGUCAUUUGCAUCCUUGUGAACCAAUUCACCAUUUGGAAAUGGAAUGAAAUACAAAGGCUUGUAAGGAUUCACACCAUACACCACUUACGUAGGCUUAUAAGGACCUUCAGCUUUUGGCAUCAACUUUUGUUUGGAAAACGUUCUUUCCUCAUAUGCACCAACACCAAAUCACCAUCUUGAAAGACACGAGGUUUCCUAUACAUGUUGGAAUUCUGUUUGUACACGUCAAUCACGGCUUCAAUCUUCACACUAGCUUGUUGGUGUAGUUUCGUCAUGGCCUUCAACUUGUCAUUAGCAUCCUUGUGAACCAAUUCAUCGUUUGGAAAUGGAAUAAUAUACAAAGGCUCGUAAGGAUUCACACCAUACACNAAGGAUUCACACCAUACACCACAUACAAAGGCUUGUAAGCACCUUCAGCUCUUGGCAUUAACUUUAGUUCUUCCUUUUUUAAGUAAACGUUCUUUCCUCAUAUGCACCUAAACCAAGUCACCAUCUUGAAAGACACAUGGUUUCCUAUGCAUGUUGGAAUUCUGUUUGUACACGUCAUUCACGGCUUCAAUCUUCACACGAGCUUGUUGGUGUAGUUUCGUCAUGGCCUUCGACUUGUCAUCAGCAUCCUUGUGAACCAAUUCAUCGUUUGGAAAUGGAAUAAUAUACAAAGGCUUGUAAGGAUUCAUACCAUACACAACUUACAAAGGCUUGUAAGGACCUUCAGCUCUUAGCAUCAACUUUUGUUCUUCCUUUUGUUAGGAAAACGUCCUUUCCUCAUAUGCACCUGAACCAAGUCACCAUCUUGAAAGACACGUGGUUUCCUAUGCAUGUUGGAAUUCUGUUUGUACACGUCAUUCACGGAUUCAAUCUUCACAUGAACUUGUUGGUGUAGUUUCAUCAUGGCCUUCAACAUGUCAUUAGCAUCCUUGAGAACCAAUUCAUUGUUUGAAAAUGGAAUCAAAUAUAAAGGCUUGUAAGGAUUCACACCAUACACCACUUAUAAAGGAGAGUGACCUGUAGCAUAAAUAGGAGAACGAUUACAUGCAAACUCAGCCUGUGCAAGUUUGAUGUCCAACUAUUUUUGAGUUUUGCUAACCAACCCCCUCAAUAAACAUACCCAAAGUUCUAUUAGUCACUUUCAUUUGCCCAUUAGUUUGUGGAUAAUGGGACGUACUAAAAAGUAACUUUGUACCAACUUUCCUCCACAAUGUGUUCCAAAUGUAACUCAAAAACAAGGAAUCCCUAUCAGAAACAAUAGUUUUACGAAUAAUAUGCAAGCGAACCACUUCUUUAAAGUACAAAUCAGAGACAUUAGAUGAAUCAUUGGUUUUAUGACAUGGCAUAAAGUGAGCCAUUUUUGAAAACCUAUCCACCACCACUAUAAUGGAUUCCUUCCCCCUUUGAGUUCUAGGCAAAGCCAUACUGAAUUCUAUUGACACAUCUUGCCAAGGAUGAAUAGGAAACGACAAAGGAGUGUAAACACCAUGCUUGAAAGUUUUUUUUGUCAUCCGAUAUGUAACACACUUGCCCACUAUGUUGGUUACAUCCCUAACAUCUUUAGGCCAUAAGAAAUGUUCUUAAAGCACCUUCAAAGUUUUGGUAAUGGAAAAAUGACCCGCCAAACCACCACCAUGAGCUUCACGAAUCAGCAACUCCCGUAUUGCAUGUUUAGGGACACAAAGGUGAUUGCCUUUUGAUGCCUUUAUGGGCUAGAUUAAGUGAGUGGGGCUGUGUUUAGGUAAAUGAAGCUAGAAUAAAAACCACAAAUGACAGGUGUAUGGGAAGAAAUGGAUAAACUAGUAACAAAUCAAGACCUACUAAGUUGUAUACCCGUGAAAACUAUCCAAGACAUAAUAUUUGUUUGAAUGCAUAUCAAGUCAAGAACAGGUCUCGACUAUGACAAGUAGUGAACUAUAACUAUAAUUCAAAGUGAACAAAGGUUCUUUUGAUUAAAAUUUCAUCUAUCUCUUUUUUCCAUGCAUAAUUGGCUUAUAUGAAGCCUUUAUUACAAAGUUGUUGGUUACAAACCACCCAACCAACUACUCAGUAAAACUAAUAAUGGAAAUUAAAGAAACUCAUGAAACCACACAAAAAAACGUCUGACACACUAAUGAAUGAAAAAAGCGUUCGUGCUCCAUUAAGGAGCAAAAAGAAGCAUUAAAAUGUAACCCAAAUCCACCGAAGAGUAUCAACAAUGGCUAAAAGGCUUGAUGAAGCCAAAAGUAAUGGUUUUGAGAACUUAUUAAGCCUUUAAAAUGUUGCCCUAGCCUUCAUGCGACCCUAAUUCAAUACGUAGGUUACCAUGCACAAUCCCACCAUUGAGUACUAACCACCUUCUAGCCUACUAGUAAUCACUAAUCCAUCACCUUUUUCAGCUUUUCAUGAGCCAUGCAUGGAUCCCCCUCCCUCUUUGAAAGGAAAUGACCUUAAUUCAUCAAGGCCAUCCUCAACAAAAUACAUGAAAGGUCUCCCACUUUAAAGGUAGCAUGCACUCCAUGGUCUCGUCCCAGAUACACCUUCUAAGCAUUAUCAUUGACAUGUGUCACCACUUUGUAAGGACCUUCAGCUCUUGGCAUCAACUUUUGUUCUUCCUUUUGUUAGGAAAAUAUUCUUUCCUCAUAUGCACCUAAACCAAGUCACCAUCUUGUAAGACACGUGGUUUCAUAUGCAUGUUGGAAUUCUGUUUGUACAUGUCAUUCACAGCUUCCAUCUUCACACAAACUUGUUGGUGUAGUUACAUCAUGGCCUUCAAAUUGUCAUUUGCAUCCUUGUGAACCAAUUCAUCAUUUGGAAAUGGAAUCAAAUACAAAGGCUUGUAAGGAUUCACACCAUACACCACUUACGAAGGCUUAUAAGGACCUUCAGCUCUUGGCAUCAACUUGUUCUUCCUUUUGUUUGGAAAACGUUCUUUCCUCAUAUGCACCUAAACCAAGUCACCAACUUGAAAGACACGUGGUUUCCUAUACAUGUUAGAAUUUUUUGUGUACAUGUCAUUCACGGAUUCAAUCUUCACACGAGCUUGUUGGUAUAGUUUCGACAUGGCCUUCUACUUGUCAUUAGUAUCCUUGUGAACCAAUUCAUCAUUUGGAAAUGGAAUCAAAUACAAAGGCUUGUAAGGAUUCACACCAUAAACCACUUACAAAGGCUUGUAAGGACCUUCAGCUCUUGGCAUCAACUUUUGUUCUUCCUUUUGUUAGGAAAACAUUCUUUCCUCAUAUGCACCUAAACCAAGUCACCAUCUUGUAAGACACGUAGUUUCCAAUGCAUGUUGGAAUUCUGUUUGUACACGUCAUUCACAGAAUCAAUCUUCACACAAACUUGUUGGUGUAGUUUCAUCAUUGCCUUCAACUUGUCAUUAUCAUCCUUGUGAACCAAUUCAUCGUUUGGAAAUGGAUUCAAAUAUAAAGGCUUGCCAGGAUUCACACCAUACACUACUUACAAAGGCUUGUAAGGACCUUUAGCUCUUGGUAUCAACUUUUGUUCUUCCUUUUGUUAGGAAAACGUUCUUUCCUCAUAUGCACCUAAACCAAGUCACCAUCUUAAAAGACAUGUGGUUUCCUAUGCAUGUUGGAAUUUUAUUUGUACACGUCAUUCACGUCUUCAAUCUUCACACAAACUUGUUGGUGUAGUUUCAUCAUUGCCUUCAACUUGUUAUUAGGAUCCUUGUGAACCAAUUCAACAUUUGGAAAUGGAAUCAAACACAAAGGCUUGUAAGGAUUCACACCAUACACCACUUACACAUGCUUGUAAGGACCUUUAGCUCUUGGCAUCAACUUUUGUUCUUCGUUUUGUUAGGAAAACGUUCUUUCCUCAUAUGCACUUAAACCAAGUCACCAUCUUGAAAGACAUAUGGUUUCCUAUGCAUGUUGGAAUUCUGUUUGUACACGUCAUUCACAACUUCAAUAUUCACACGAACUUGUUGGUGUAGUUUCAUCAUGGCCUUCAACUUGUCAUUAGCAUCCUUGUGAACCAAUUCAUCGUUUGGAAUUGGAAUCAAAUACAAAGGUUUAUAAGGAUUCACACCAUACACCAAUUAUAAAGGAGAGUGACCUGUAGCAUAAGUAGGAGAACGAUUACAGUCAAACUCAGCAUGUGUAAUAUUGAUGUCCAACUCUUUUUGAAUUUUGCUAACCAACCCCUUCAACAACGUACCCAAAGUUCAGUUUGCCCAUCAGUUUGUGGAUGAUGGGACGUACAAAAAGUAACUUAAUACCAACUUUCCUCCACAAAGUGUUCCAAAUGUAACUCAAAAACAUGGAAUCCGUAUCAGAAACAAGAGUUUUAGGAAUAAUAUGCAAGUGAACCACUUCUUUAAAGUACAAAUCAGACACAUUAGAUGAAUCAUUGCUUUUAUGACAUGGUAUAAAGUGAGCCAUUUUUGAAUACCUAUCCACCACCACUAUAAUGGAUUCCUUACCCCAUUGAGUUCUAGGAAAAUCCAUACUGAAUUCCGUUGACACAUCUUGCGAAGGACGAAUAGGAACCGAAAAAGGAGUGUAAACACCAUGCUUGAAAGUUUUUUUCGUCAUCCGACAUGUAACACACUUGCCCACUAUGUUGGUUAGACCAGAAGAAAUGUUUUUAAAGCACCUUCAAAGUUUUGGUAAUGGAAAAAUGACCCGCCAAACCACCAUCAUGAGCUUCAUGAAUCAGCAACUCCUAUAUUGCAUGUUUAGGGACACAAAGGUGAUUGCCUUUUGAUGCCUUUAUGGCCUAGAUUAAGUGAGUAGGGCUGUGUUUAGGUAAAUUUUGCUAGAAUAACAACCACAAAUGAUAGGUGUAUGGGAAGAAAUGGAUAGAUUACUAACAAAUCAAGACCUACUAAGUUGUAUACCCGUGAAAACUAUCCAAGACAUAAUAUUUGUUUGAAUGCGUAUCAAGUCAAGAACACGUCUCGACUAUGACAAGUAGUGAACUAUAACUAUAAUUCAAAGUGAACAAAGGUUCUUUUGAUUAAAAUUUCAUCUAUCUCUUUUUUCCAUGCAUAAUUGGCUUAUAUGAAGCCUUUAUUACAA
rnacentral:lncRNA from 1 species